UAAAACAAAAUGGUGGAUACCGUGCGGUAAUACCUAUCGUAGUUAUUCGUUCCUUUCAGGCAAAAACGCAGAUGGUUUCUCCUUCUUUUACCGUCACUGCCCCGGGAAAGAUAAUCCUUCAUGGAGAACAUGCAGUUGUUUAUGGAAAGAAAGCCGUUGCAGCAGCUAUUGGGUUGAAAACGACACUCCAAUUAGAAGCAACCAACGACGGACAGUUUACACUUAACUUGUUGAGUUUUGGGACAACCUGCAGAUGGAAAGCCGAGGAGCUGCGACAAGACGUUAAAAGACUUACUACAGAUGGGUCAUGUUGGCCUCAGGAGGGAAGAGAGCUGUUCAAUAAGUCUUCUGAACAAUCUGAGGUCAAAGUAGUGGAUAAGAGAGCCAUCAAUGAUGCAAUUAGAGUGUUUAUUUUCCUCAUUGGCAAGUUUGUUGAGGAAAUUGACAGGGUUCCUUCAUUCUCAGUGGAAGUGAGCACAUCCAUUCCAGUUGGAGCUGGUUUGGGAUCAUCAGCAUCAUACUGCGUUUGCCUUUCCACAGCCCUUCUCGCAGUAGCAGGGAAGGUUUCACAACCUUCAAUGAUGAGGUCCAUACCAGGUGAUGAGAGAGAGCUAUGCCGAGAUGAAAUGGCAUCUCUGUCUAGGGAAGACCUGGAGUUAAUUCAUAUGUGGAGUUUAGAAGCAGAAAAGCUUGUUCACGGAAAGCCAUCUGGAAUUGACAACUCAGUUUGUACAUAUGGAGCUGUUCUCACAUUCAAAGAUGGAACUAUUGAGCACUUGGCAAAAAUUCCACAGCUCAGGGUCUUGAUCACAGACACAAAGGUACCUCGCAGCACAAAGGACUUAGUGGCAGGCCUUAGGGACAGAUGUCAACAGCUUCCUUCUGUGUACAAUCCCCUGUUUGAUGCUGUUGGUGCUGUUGCAGAAGAGAGCUGUGUCUAUCUUGAGAAGCUGUAUCAAAUCCAAGCCGUAUCACCAUCGGCAAAAGAAAACCUUCAAGAGCAGUAUUAUAUGUUGGAGAAACUUAUUGACUUGAACCAACAGUUGCUUGUGACAUUAGGAGUAAGUCACACUUCAUUGGACCAGGUGUGUCGCGUGACUGCUAGACACGGUUUGCACUCCAAGUUGACUGGGGCAGGCGGUGGAGGGUGUACCUACACACUUGUCACGCCAGGUACCAGCGAACUAUCCGUGACUUCAGUCACUGAAGAACUGACCGCCAUGGGUUUUGAUGUUUGGGACACUUGUCUUGGCGCGCAGGGUGUUACCCUCUCGCGCACCCCACUCACGCAUCCCUCGCAAUAGGGGACCUACGAAAUCAAGGAACGACAUCCUUUCGCUGUGCUUCAAUAAGAGCAAACAGAUUUGCCACAGUUUAAAUCUAGACACGUACAUAUGAGCAUACUGUUUGGCCAAGAGCACGUCCUUGUGGUUCAUUUAGCAGAGCAACCGACCGCAAAUUGAAAAUCGCUGAGCUGAGGUCAGUUUGCUACAUCAAGGGGUACUCAUAGUUUUUCUUAAGCUUUGCCCCUUCCUUUUGAAACAAUGUUUGAUAUCUGAACUGACGGUUUACAGCUUUUUUAUCACUUAGAGUUCCCUUUGAGCGCUUUGAUAUUACGUAAGCAUGUUGUUAUUGUUUCCAUCUUAUUUUAUUUCUGGCCACUAGAGAUUUCAAUCCAUUUUGAUGAAGGAAAAGCUUUACAAGGUCGAAAACGUGUAGCUGAGUUGGACGUGCGUCAAUUAGGAAUGAUAACUGAUUUUCGCUUCUUUCAGAAUCAAACUAGAGGCGAAUUAAUACAGAUAUCACGUAGAGAUUAACGUAGAAAGUUCCAGAGAUUUGGAGUGGCCAGGUUAUUCUAAAGACAAACAACAAGAGAUGAUUCCUACCGAUUGUAAGAAUAGAUAAUUUCAGGAAAACAACAUCCAGUUAGCGGUCUGAUAUUUAUCAAGAAAGUUGACUGUAAUGAUCGAAAAAUUUGUGACUUUUGGUAAGGUUUGGGUGAUGAAUGAAAUAUUGCUAUUGUGGUGUGCACCGGAUACGUCUAUAGGUCUGUGCAAAAGAGCGAACCAAGAGAGAGAGUUAUCGCAGUUAUGUUAGAUGAUUUAUAGAAGUCUCAAGUUGAUAUUGACAACCUGAACAAAUUCAUUGAUCAUGGAAGAUAAAUACGAAUACAUGGCUUUUACGUCUAAAUACGCCGUUUGUAUUAAUCUGCAGAAGAAUAAUUCACAGGUUCACAGAUAAUCAGAUGGGAAUCAAACGAGAGAUGGCCGUUGAAAAUAUUCCCGAUACUACACCUGCACCUACCACACCCGUCGAAUUCAGUGCAGUUUAGGCAAAAAGGGAAGAAUUACCACAGAUUAACUUUUGAGCCAGAUAAUUCAACUUCGAACGACUUUCUUUUCGUGAUGGGGGAAUUUUUUACCAGUGACACAAGCUCUCGCAUAGGAGUGCUUACAUCAUAAAGGAGUCCGCCGGGCCUAUCACCUAAAGAUUUCUCAGGAGCGCAAGUGAUCAGUCGCUGGAGCAUAAAGACUCUUCAAGGGACAUGUGUUGGCUAGACCCUGUAAUAAGGUUCAUAUGUUGAACACCCCAUACAAAGGCAGGAUUUGACUGUCGGUGUGAAAUUCAUAGCAAUGAUGACGUGGAAAACAUCAAUGAUUCCACGUUGAUGUUGGGUCUGCACAGUCAUAGAUUACCGAAGACGUCGAAAUGUAGCAAGAAAAUCAGUGACGCAGAGAAUUUCUGUUAAAACUACACGACACUGAUAUCAAAGUUCAAAGCAUAUUGUGACUUUAACUUUUGUCCUAAAAGUCAUAUCAGUCCUGUUCCCUCAACUUCUAGUUCAAAUUAAAAACCAUUGUAAGGUUAUCCAAUUAUCAAUUAAAAUGAUUUUCUCUUAAUAGCGAGCAGUUUUCAAUACAUAAUUGGAACAUGCUUAAAAUUCAUAUGACCAUCACUGGGCUGAAAAACAUCCCUGAAAAUAAUAGUCUUUGUUUAUACAUACUUCUUUGAGGUCUAUAUUGUAAGUUACAGAACAAGUGUUUUCUGCCAGAUUUAUGGCCAAAGCUUGCAGGCCAUAAACGGUGGCAGAUUCAGACCUCAAGCUAAGGGGGAACCUGUUUUUUUUGUUUUGUUUUGUUUUUUUUGUUUUUUUUUUGUGAGUGUGUGUGUACACCUGCUGGCUUUUCUUUCCACUGUGUUUAUUUUUUUUUUACUCAAAAUAAGGGGGGGCUGGGCUUCACGAGAGUAGGCCCCUCCCAUACAUCCACCACUGAUAAAAAUUUUAGUAGAAAAAACAAGGUUCUGUAUCUUACAGUACAGACUGAGAAAACACGGUCGGUGAGAUAUGUUUUAUCUCAGUGGGUUCAAAUAAAGGAAGAAAAUUUCAAUUUAAACAAACUUUUGAAUUGAACCCUUUACACCCUAA